AGCUACUGAGGCUUCAGUUUUAUUCGCUAGCUUGGUCUCUAGUAAGCCAUGGCCCCCACCGCGAUGGCCGCCGCCACCUCCGUCGCUCCAUUCCAGGGGCUCAAGUCCACCGCCAGACUCCCCGUCAGCCGCCGCUCCAGCAGCUCCGGCUUCGGCAACGUCAGCAACGGCGGAAGGAUCAGGUGCAUGCAGGUAACAAUCGAUCGAUCUUUUUUUUAAGACGCGCAAUAGCAUGUUUUUCGUUAAGUAGAGAGAAACAGAGUACAUACAGAGCAUGCACGACCGAAUAAACAGCUCGACAAUCGAUCUGAGUUAAAUGCAACUGAGUAGUAGGAAGUCAGGAACUGAUGCAUGGGUAUUGUUAAUUGCUCAGGUGUGGCCGGCGGAGGGCAACAAGAAGUUCGAGACCCUCUCCUACCUGCCACCUCUCUCCACGGACGAGGUCCUAAAGCAGAUCGACUACCUGAUCCGGAAGAACUGGAUUCCCUGCCUCGAGUUCAGCAAGAUCGGGUUCGUCUAUCGUGAGAACAGCACGUCUCCCUGUUACUACGACGGGCGCUACUGGACCAUGUGGAAGCUGCCCAUGUUCGGCUGCACCGAGGCCACCCAGGUGUACGCUGAGUUCGAGGAGUGCAAGAAGGCCUACCCCGACUGUUACAUCCGUAUCAUCGGCUUCGACAACAUCAAGCAGGUGCAGUGCGUCAUGUUCAUCGCCUACAAGCCCCCAGGCUCCGAGUAAGACCGGCGGCGCCAAAUAAGCUUAUCGCGCGGACCGCUCGCUCGUGAGCGACCGUGGAUGAAGUGUCUACUCGGUUUUGGCAACUUAAUUAUUUGACGCUCUGUUUAAAGUCGCCUGCUUGUUAAUUCCCUUUCUUUUCGUGUUUCCGUCCUGUGUGUAUGUACGAAUGUACAUGUAUCAACGUAGGCUGAGGAGCAUGCAUAUGUGAAUGCUAGCGCCGGCUAAACUUAUACGCAUACACAUCGUAAUAUAUUGUAUACGCAAUUCCUCCACUGCCUCAUCUUCUUGACGUAUAAUUAUAUAUCUAUGUACUAUCGGCUUGUUUGGUUGGAUGUAAUUGGUGGGUGGGAAAAAGAGUUUAGAUGCGAGAGAUUAAAAUUCUAUUAUUUGUUUAGUGGGCCUGGAAGUUUUAAUGGGACGAGAAAUGCCCACCAAUCAAUUCCCAUGGGGAGGGUGAGAAUUUGUUUUUUAAAAAGUAGAAGAUAAAUGCAUUUACAUUAUUAAUCAUGACUUAAUAUAUAACUAGCAAAAUGCCCGUGCAUUGCUAUGGUAAAAUAAUGCUAAUUGUAUUUUUAAAAACUUGUGGAUUUUUUCUGUUUCUACCACUAUAUGUUUAUUGCAUUUAGUGGAUCUAUACAUACAUCCUUAUACUCAAAAAAUCAUAUAUCCUUAUACUCAAAUAAUCAUUCAUUUCUAUCUUUUUAAUUUAUACAAGAGAUUUUCUAAGAUAAAAAAAUAGAUACAACGAUAUUGCACCCUACAAUGUAAGCAUAACUCUAAUUGUUUGUACCCUCUUAUCCGAAUUGAUGAAUACUAUAUUUCAUAUGGUCGAGCCUAGCUAACACCUGCUAGCUGAGUGUAACGUACACGUGUUAGCAGGCGUGAACACGUUCUAUUCAUUUCAAUCCAAAUGAUCCUUAAAGUUUGAAAACUAAACAUGUAGCAAAAAAAAUUUAAAAACAAUUAGCAUCAUGUGUGGAUGCAUGCACAAAAUUUGUGAGUCAAGAUUUUUUUUUAUACCAAGGAAAUAAAGGAACGUUACAUAUGACAGAUUUUAGUAAUUUGCUAAAUUAUUUGUAAUGCUCAAACAUUCAAAUAAAAAAUGUGCACCUACCACACAAGGGGAAUUUUCACCUCUAAACCCCCACGCCAAACAAAGGAUAUAAAGUCUCACUUAAACUCCCUGUUAAUUUCCUCCAAAAGACAAACAAGGGAAUGAGUAUUCCCAAGUGAAUCCCCUCCACCAGCUCUUACCACAAGUUCACAUGCCCCAUCCCAUUCAUUGCCAAUAGUACCCUAUAUGUAUUAUUGAUCGUAUCGAAUAUAUUUAUGGCUUUUGCAAAUUCGUUAGUUUUCAUGAUUCAUCAUAUCUUACCAAUGGGAUUCUUAAAAAGAAAAAAAUCUCUCUCUCUAUACAUUUUGUGCCUAGCUUUAAUUUCCACACCUUUGGUGCAAGGAAAAAUUGACACACGUUUUUGAAUUGAACUGGAGGAUAACUCGCCUUGUUUACACUCAUCUUUGAUGGACGCCUCGUCGACAUAGUUUGUGAGUUGUGACGUUCAUUCCAACAUGUGCAGUUUUGACAACAGCUAAAGCUAAAGAUUACCGACCGAGUAUGCCUAUGCAUGUACCACGGUGGCAUUGCUGACGUUCUUGUGUCUGUUGUAGUGCACACGUACAGUACAUAAAUGUGCAGCAACCUGCUAGAUCCUAGAGUGUGCUUCCCAGAUUCUUGUUCUGGUCCAGCAGGGAAAGGGGUUUUUCCGCAAUGUGUGUCCACCAUUCAGGGUUAGAGUGUUCCUAAUUUAGACCACAAGUGUCCAGGAUUUAAGGAUAGGUUCACAAAACUAGACCACAAGUGUCCCAGCUACAGGAUUAGGUUUGGGAUCAACUUGCAUUGUGCCGAGCAAGCGGCACACACUUUACUCAGCAUAAUAAUGACGUAGCUAGUGCAGUACAAUUAUAUGACGUUUUAGGUGUGGAAAUAUCCGGAUUGUAACAGGCUUAAUCUUGUUUAGACUAAGCAUGUCAUCGUGAGCAUCAUUAAGCAUUAAUCAUGGUUGCAAAUAAACAAAACUUGCCUCGGUCAAGCACGACCCAGCAACUCCUUUGCCAUGUCACCACGAACAGUCCACCCCUCACUCGUAGACGGUCCGCUAGCACACCUCGGUACGUGUCGCGCGUGCAUAACUUUUGCGCCACGUCACCCACACGGACCCACUCGUCAGCCCACAUCCCUCCUCGCACAGAGCACCUUGCAGUCCAUCCUAUUCACUUCCUCUCUCUCUCAACCCAAGCCAUGGAGGAGCCCCCAAGGUCCCUCCACCAUUGAAGCCUUCACCUCACCGGAGCUUCGCUGGAGGAUUGCCGGAGCUCGACGUUGAUGCCCUGCACCACCUCGACCUCAGCUUCUUCCUUGGGCUCGGAGUUGAAGUUUCCUCAAGAUCUUCUUCCUCCAUCCCCAAGACCUUCCCCAAGAUUCAAGUGAAGGACGACCCAGAGCUUCUCCAACGCCACCCUACACCAACCUGUGGCACCUCACCGGAGUCCUACACAUCGCCGAUGAACCAUCUCCAUCCCCGAUCCGUUCCCCAUUGCCCUAUGUUGUGAAUCCAUGGAACCCUUUAGAGCCAAAUCACCAUUAAUGACCUAGAGCUUUGAAUCCUUAAUGCGUGUCAAAUCUAUCUCCCUAGAUGAACUCUAGACACUUCCGGGAACCCAAAGAAACAAACCGCACCCCAAACCGAUGCUAGAGUUGUCGCCGAGCCACGAGGGCGGUGCGGACAGUCCGUCGUUUGCACACCAAAAAACAACAGAACCUUUACAUUUCUACUUCUUGAGCACUUUUUGUACUACGGAUGGUUCGCAUAUGAUGGCCGGACAGUCCGCCGUUCAACCACACAACCAAUCGAGCCUCUGCACAUCUUUUCAUCCUGUGUUGAUUUUGUACUGCUGACGGUCCACCAUUGUGGGGUGGACGGUCCGCCAUUCAAGUUAGAAAACCAUCCCGAAUCUGUCUACCUUUGCCAAAACGGUCCGCACUUGAUCGGCGGACAGUCCGCAUAACAGUCCGCCAUUCAAAAUGGACGGUCCACCUUUCCGAAGUCGGAUGGUCCGCUAUAAUACCUGCCAUUUUUAGUCAUCAAAGUGACUCUGAAGAAAUGGAAGCAAUUUAUGAAUAAAAGAAGAAGAAAUUGGCCAAAAAUCAAAUUCGGGUCAAAUUUGAUCGAAAUUUGAAUUUUGAAUUUGAAAUUCAGAAAAAUUUGGCAAAAAUAUGGAAUGGAGGUGUAAGGAUGAUUAGAACUUAAAGAUCAAGAUUUGGGACAAGAUUUGGUUCUAAAUACCUCAAGAAAAUCAAAGAGAGAAAUUGAAAAUCAAAGUUACUGUUCCCUGUCCGACAACAGGAAUUUCAGAAAAACAGCACAAAGCUCAUUUUUGGAAAUUAGAUUCUCUUGAAUUUUUCAAAUAAAUGGAUCCAAACAACUAUACCAUAUUAAAGUGUGGACUUUGGAAAAGAAUCUUCAAGUGUUGUUGAUCAGGAAUAGUAGAGGGAACCAUUUCAAAUGGAAGCUCAAAGUCGGCACCUUGUCACGGUAAACUGCACCUCUGAAAUUAUCUAAGUCUGAAACAGCACUACAUGGCCAAGUUUGGAGCCGAUUUCAGAAAAAUGUAGAACAAAAGGUGCAAGUGUUUAUGGGCAAAAUGGAAACUUUGAAGGUUGUAGAACACAAUUGGGAAGAAGUUGGACAGAGAGGAAGGGAUUUAGAUCACUGAAACCAUUUUUAAAGUCAGGUAAGUGACUCUGUUCAAGACUGACGAACUGAACUUUGAAUUUAAGUGAUUCAGUUACAGAAGAAAGGGAAUUCGAAUUCCACUGUGCUAGGAUGUUUAUCCCGGGUAGAAACUUAAAUAAAAGUUGAAGGACUCAAGUUUAUCUACAACUUUGUUUAAGUGACUUGUGAACCGUUGGAUUUGGAAUCGGCCGUGGUGGAGCUCUGAAUAUCGGGCGUCAGAAAAUAAGAAAGGGAAGGGGCGACACAGCAGGCAGGACGUGUCGCCAGGACGUGUCGCUGCCGGUGCGUCUGCCGCUGUCCAGCUCAAGAUAGCUAGGUCACCUCCUUACCACGCAAGCCUACGAGUAGACCACGGUGGCAACCAUGGGCGCGGUGAAAACCUUGAAUAACUACCGCUCCCGCGCCGCCCGUUUUACCGCUGCUCUUUUUCACCGCCGCCGCUCCACUGUCCAAGCCGCCACCGCCGGGUAAAAUUCCCCCACCACACCGCCACUCUCGUCGAUUCCCUCCGUCUACAUCUCCAUACAUACCCCACCAACAACCCUAGCCACUUGUUGCCCAGCUUCUCCGGCGGCGUGCCAGAAACCGCCGUAGUUUCCGUCCGUCGUCACCGCACCUCUUGCUCACGGUGAGCACCUCCUUGCGCUUGCUCUCUUUCUUCUUGGGUAGUCAUAGGCGGGUCCUUGGGGUGCUAGGAGGCUGUAGAGGGAGUCAUCGGGGUGGGUUGCGCUGUCGUCGUGCUUGACCACGACCGGCCGUAGGUGCCGCCGCCCGCCGCCAUGGAGGGAGUGGCUCCGGCCAUCUCCCGAGGAGCUAUCGCCGUGCACGGGUGAGUUAGGCUAUGGGGAUGCUUUCCCGACCUAGCCCCGUCGCCGGUAGGGCGCCGGCCGGCGAGCCGCGCCGCCCCCUGUCGCGCCGGUUUUGGCAAGAGGAAGAAGAAGGCGCUGGAGUCGCGGGCCCGCGCGUCAGUGAGGAAAAGGAGAGAAGGGAGAAAGGCAGGCCGGGCGCGGGCGUCAGUGGGCCAGCGUUCCGGCGGCCCAAGGAGCCGGUGUUGGUCAGCCGUUGAAGAAAAAGGCCGGAGGCCCAGAGAUCCAGCAGGCCGGCGUUGCGAGAGAAAGAGGAAAAGAAAGAUGAGCCGUUGGGCCGUCACUGGUAUAAAGAGAAGGGGUGGAGAGAAGAAUCGGCCCAGGAGGGCCCGGCCGGGGAGGAGUAGGCCGGCGGGUAGGAUGAAUAGGAAAAGGGUGGGUCCGCGCCGCGGGCCCAGUGCAAGAGAGAGGGGGUAGAAGAAGGUCGCGUGAGAAAAGUUGAAGGUCGCGUGAGAAAAGUUGCCGGGGGUGUUUUUCGGGAAAAAUUAGAUUUCCUUUAUAGAAUAAUUAGUUUAAAUCCGAAUCUCACCAUUUAAAUCACAGAAAUUUUCUAGGAGAGUCCAAAAUUAGUGAAACCAAUUUUGUUAGGCUUGUUUUAUUUUCCUUUAUGCAUUAAAAUUUUUAUACCCUAGAAAAAUAAUAAAAAUUUGAGCAUUUAUUGAAUGCCUUUCUUUUAAGGUAUUUAAAUAAAUUCUUAAUCUUUAUUAAAUGCAUAAAAUAUGGAAUAAUAUUUUCAUAACUAAAAAUUAUUAUUAAUUCAUAGGAAAUUAGGUUUUAAAGCUAGAAAAUAAUUAUAACAUUUUCUAAAAAUGAAAGAAAAGGCCUUAAGUAAGGAUAAUUAGGGAAAUAAAAAUUGUGGGCUAAUCUUUUCGGGUUUUUGUGUGUUGGCUUGCAACUUUAUCAUGAUAAAUUGUAUAGUCCUUGUUGGCUUGCAACUUUAUCAUGAAGGAAAGUUGUACAAUCUUGUAUUCAAAAAGUUGCAUUCCUAACCCCUGCAUAUGUUGUGUUAUAGAAAUCGAAGCACUAGAAGGAGAUUACUCAGAAUAUUCAGAAGGAUCUCCGGAGUUUGAGGAAGUCUUUGAAUUGGUCCCAUGCGAAGCCAAUCCUUCGGACAGUGGUAACCUUUUUAGCGAACAAGGCCAGCCCCGGUGCAUUAUACCUAUUAUUUUGGAGUCAAUAUUUCACGUGUCCAUUAUUUAGCUAUUUGCUAUAUGUAUGCACUAAGUUUAGGAGUUGCUUGAAACCCAUUCUUGUGCAUUAUCAUACCUUGUUUUAAGGAUAUCUUUGCCACUUGUUCAAACCUUUAGUAGAUAACCCAAGUCUAGAAUUGCUUAGUUGCUUAAAUGCUUGGUUUAAGGUAAAUCUUGAGUCAUACAUGUUAUUUAUGGAAAGAUGACUUGGAAAUUGAGAAGCGGACAGAAGCUAAGGAUGUAGUUCUGUCUGCUAGAUUAAUUUGGUUGAGGCACGAUUCGUUGUCUUAACCUUUGAUCAAGUGAUAAUUAUCUGAUCACUUACUGGGUAUGGGACCAGUAAAGCCCAGUAGGUUAGUAAACUCUUUGAUCGGGAAUACUUCGUACCCGUGCUUGACGUGCUGGAGAUUGGCAGGGGCGUAGCCUAAAACUCACAUGGUGAGCGGGCCAGACGUGGGGUCCCAUGUGGGGGUGCGUCCCUGGGUCCGGGUAGUCUUAUUCCCAAUCAUUGGUUUUGCUAAUCGAAAAGUCGUUACGUACGACCUGGACAGUCGUAUAUAGCUGGUGAUCAGGGUACUCUCCUGCAGGAUGUAAUAUGAUCCGGAUCGCCGCAAUUCUCGGUUAUGAAUGCACUUGAUCACCGUUGAGCAUUGUAGCAUAAUUUCAUGAAUGUCAUAUCUUUCUGAUAAUGAUUGGUGUAUGACUUUAAUACCUUGUUGUCGCAAUUAAUCUUUUCUCAUCAUCUAGAAUGGUUAGGUAAAAACAUAACCCAAGUAAAAGAUAAAACUAAGGUCUCACUUGUAGUAAGCUCUUUGGCAAAAAUGUAUCAGCCAAGUACACCGAAAAAGCUAUCAUGUGCUUCCAAGAAAAACUAUUAUAUUGGUUAGUCGGGUAAGACUUGCUGAGUACUCCAUACUCAGAGUUAUCCCUUGUGGCUAUCUUUUCAGAAGCACCGCAGGAGUCCACUGAGGAGGAAGCCCCAAAACCCUAGGGUAUUGUUAUGAGUCUCACAAUACCCUUAGAAGAAGUCUCAUAAUGCUCAUCUCCAUCCGAACCGUUUAUGUUUUAAGUCCUAGAACUCUGUCUAACACUGCACUGUUAAGUUUGCUUCAAACUAUAUCUUGUAUUAACUCGUACCUCUUGUAUGUAUGUAAAAAUGUAAUAUUUGUUGAUGCUAUCCCAUCGCGGAUACAAUCAUGAUGUAUGGCUAUGAGACACGACGUGGAUCUUUCGAGGAGUCCUAGGGACACUCGACGGACGACCGGACUUAUACUGUUUUAAGUGCGUUUCGGAUAAUUGCUGCGUCGGCAGCAAUUAGGCGCAUUUAAACCAGUUUAAGUUGGAUGGUUCCGCCACAGCUGGUAUCAGAGCCGUAGGUUGGGAUAACCAACAGAUAUUACCAUUUAAAAUACUGAGACUCUAUUUUAAAAUAAAGAAAACAUGAGUCAUAGGUGGCAGUAGUGUUAACUGGUUGUUUGUUUUGCAGAUGCUAACUGUUUGCUGCGUGUCGCUAGUAUUCAGUAGUAUAUUAUUAGGGAGAGAUUACGAUGCCACCAAUUUCUGUACGAGUGAGUAUAUGAGUCUGUGAGUACGUAGGAGUCGUUGCAUCAUGUUGCAUAAGCAUGUUUUAAAAACUUUUGGGUUUGGUGAGUGCCGUUAGACCUAACCUCGUUUCUUUUAUAGGAUGUUUCAAGAAGGCUACACCGACCAGGACGGAUGGACCCGAGGGCAUUACCUGGAUAAGCCAGGGUUUGUGCAGCUGCUAUGGAAAACGCUGCAGGAAUUAGGUUUCCAUAACCCUCCAGAGUAUUAUUGGAGGAAGGAGGACACGUGUCACAAGCAGUGCUGCACUGUUUAUGUGCACAUUCCAGAUGAAGACACCAACCCCAAUUGGCGUCUAGAAGAAGUGAUGGAGUCGGGCUUCGAGUUCAACGACACAAUUGAAAGGGCGGCUAUGACUGCUCUCACAGACCUAUGUGAGAAGCACAAGGUAGAGAUAGGGUCGAGCUCUGCUUGAUUUUAUCCUAUAAAGCAUCAAGAUGAUGGAAUCUGGAAGAGAAGGAUUAAAGCCCUGAAGAACUCUUCUCGUGUAGAGCAUGACAUCUUGGUUGUUGCUGCCUCCGACUACAUGAUGGCCAUGUACAACUUGCACCAGUCUUGCAUCAGAGAGUAUUAUAAUCAGAGGAAGAAAAAUGAAGAUGCCAAGAUGGAGUUAAUGGGUGCCAGACACGAUAAGGAGUUGUACAAGAAGGCGGCAUUAGCAAGGGAACACGACAUGGAGAAAAUCAUGAGAGAGUAGUCCAGAAGAAUAGAUGAAUAUGAAGAGAAACUCAGGGUAAUGCAAGGAUUCAUAGAGGCCAGUAGGAGUAUGGCAGAUAGGGCAAGAGAAGAAGCCGAAUCCAAUGUUAAUAGGCUCGAGGCAGAAAGAUUCCAGCAGCUGGACGAAAUCUUAUCUCUUCGUCUGGCUUUGGAGGAAAUGUAGGCCCAGGUACCUGCGCAGAACAUAGUCAAUGUUCCACCGCCUCCACCACCAGAAGAACCCCAGCCACCGAACCCAGAAGAAGCAGAUCAAUUAGUGGAUGUUGUAGGAGUGGAGGGUGAUAUUGCUCCACCUGCAGCUCCCGAGAUUGACCUAUACGCUCACGAGAACUUAGAAGGGUUUGAUGUUGACAUGGAAGAUGAUCAGGGUGAAGCUCCCAUGGGAAACCAACAAUUUGCCUGGGCCAAUGCAAAUGCCGAUGGGUUAGAUCCACAAGGCUAUAGACCAAUGCAGCAGUAGGGUGAAGCGGAGCAGGAAGACGGGGAAGAAGAAGAAGACCCCGAAGAAAUGGAGGGAAAUUCCGGAGUUAGUACCUCUGCAUCCUAUACUUCCUAUACUUCAGGUGACCCCGGGCCAGAGUCAGAAAGUGAGAACUCAGUAAAUCAGGCCCCACCUGUCGCUCCUCCGGGACAGACGCUGAUGACAGUGGACCAAGAUAUUCUGCAGGCAGCGAUGGCCCGGCUAGGACUGAAUGCCGAAGAGCUAGGACUCUACCCUUAUGAUGGUUAAAGCAAGACCUUAACUAAGAGAUGUUGUAAUGUAUUUAUGUAAGAUAAAUGUGAUGGACGGAGUAGCACGGUGGUUUUGUAAAAAGUAACUUCAAGUCAUGUAAUAUAAAUAAAUAUGUAUAUAAGUGUGGUCUGUGAAUGGUCAUGCUGUGAUGUGUGAAAUAUUAGUGUGCAGGGAACUGUUAGCAAAAUGCACCUUAGAUAUUAAUAUUCUGUUUACUUUUGACAGCAUGACGGAUCCAAGAGGUCCAUGAGCUUCAGGGUCAGGGGGCCAUGAGGAGAAUUUACCGAGAGCUCCAACGCUGGCAGAUGCUAUAGCCAGCCUUAUGAGUUCAGGAGCCGAACAGGCUCGACUGCUCCAAAUGAUCGUACAAAACACCGGCAAUGGUGGAAACCGACGAGACCCAGAACAGGGUGUAUCCUACACCCAGUUCUUAGAAACUCGUCCUCCAAUAUUCUUGAAAGCUGAGCAUCCACUUGAAGCUAAUGAAUGGCUUCAGACGAUGGAGCAGAAGUUUCUAGUAAUUCCCCAGUGCACCACCACCCAAAAGGCGGAGUUUGCAGGACUCCAGCUCCAAGGUCCCGCUGGGACCUGGUGGACCAGUUACCUGGCAAGGCAACCGGUUGGAAGGGAAGUUACAUGGGAGAACUUCAAGGAGGCCUUCCGGACACAGUUUGUGCCAGAAGGUAUCAUGCGCAUGAAGCUGGAGCAAUUCCUAGGGCUACAGCAAGGAACCCGCAGCAUUCUGGAAUACACCAAUGAGUUUGAUCACUUAGCCUAGUAUGCAUCGGAACAUGUCAAUACAGAGUCCAGAAAAAGAGAUUGCUAUCUUCGUGGGCUAAAUGCACGAAUGCAGAAGAAGCUGUCCACCUGCACCUUUGCUGACUAUAGUUCUGCGGUAAGCACAGCCAUUACUGCAGAAGAAAAGAUGAGGAUCUUAGAUGAGACUUUAAAGAAAGAAGAAUAUUCCUUUUGGAACCUUCGGUAAUGCCCCACAAAGAAUGAAAGUGGUAUACCAAGGUUCUCCUCGACCCAUGUAUCGGCCUUCGUUUCAGUAGAGGCCCUUUCAGCCCUGGAAUGUUAAAGCUCCUAUUAAUGCUCCUCGUCCUGUAAAUGCACCACCUCUUGGGUUUCGUAACCCUACUCCUCCAGGGAAUCCACAAGUUUGUUUUAAAUGUGGGAAGCCGGGACACUUUGCCCGGGACUGCCGUUUUCCCAAGGUUGGGGGAAAUGCAAAUUUAAGGGCUCAAACCUCUGGUCAAGGCACUAGGCAGAAGUUUGUUCGUCGCAAGUUUGUGAACACCAAGACAGGAUAGGCUCAUUAUAUGAAUGUGGAGGAAAUUCCGGAAGGAGAGCCUAUUCUGGCAGGUAUGUACCUUGUUAACAAUUAUCCUGCCAUGGUUUUAUUUGAUUCGGGUGCAUCACAUACCUUUAUAAGUAGAAAGUUUGUUACACAACACCAGCUAGGAGUGCAUACCUUAAAUGUCAAAUAUGCUAUUCAAGCUACUGGGGCUACUCAGAAUACAAAUCAAGUAGCUCGCAAUGUGAUUUUGAACUUAGAAGGAAAUAAGGUGGGUGCUUAUCCUUUAAUUCUAGAAGAUCAAGGAAUAGAUAUUAUUUUGGGGGUGAAUUGGAUGAAAGAACAUAAAGUUCAAAUCAAUAUGGAUAAUCGGGUCGUUAGUAUGAGAGAUGACCAAGGCCAUUCUUUUGAGCUCCAAUUACCCGCUCAUCCCUGUUUGGACCAGAUGGUCAAAAAGACUAGAGUAGUGACUCUAGAAUCUAUUCCUGUGGUUAAUGAGUUUAUAGAUGUGUUCCCAGAAGAUCUGCCUGGACUACCGCCUGAUAGAGCGGUAGAAUUUACCAUUGAGUUAGAACCGGACACUACUCCUAUCUCAAGAAGACCGUAUCGGAUGCCACCUAAGGAAUUAGCAGAAUUAAAAGUACAACUCGAAGAAUUGUUGGAUAAAGGUUUUGUCCGACCUAGCACUUCACCAUGGGGCUGCCCUGCUCUAUUUGUUAAAAAGAAAGAUGGCACAUUGAGGUUAUGUGUGGAUUACCGCCCUUUGAAUGCGGUAACCAUUACAAACAAGUAUCCGUUGCCACGGAUUGACUUGUUAUUUGAUCAACUAGCUGGAGCCAAGGUCUUUUCAAAAAUCGACCUUCGGUCAGGAUAUCAUCAGAUUAAGAUAAAACCCGAAGACAUACCUAAAACAGCCUUCUCAACCCGAUAUGGAUUGUAUGAGUAUUUAGUUAUGUCUUUCGGACUGACAAAUGCCCCAGUGCAUUUUAUGUACCUCAUGAAUUCGGUAUUCAUGCCAGAAUUAGAUAAAUUUGUGGUCGUCUUUAUAGAUGAUAUCCUUAUCUUUUCUAAAAAUGAAGAGGAACAUGCGCAACACCUGCGUAUUGUUCUAAAUAGACUCCGGGAACACCAGUUGUAUGCCAAGUUCAGUAAAUGUGAAUUCUGGUUAAAGAAAGUUCUAUUCCUUGGGCACAUACUGUCCGAAAAAGGAAUUGAAGUAGAUCCCGGAAAAGUCAAGGACAUAUUGGAUUGGAAAUCACCAACCUCUGUACAUGAAGUAAGAAGUUUCUUGGGAAUGGCCGGCUAUUACCGUAGGUUCAUUCCCAAUUUCUCAAAAAUUUCCAAACCAAUCACAGAGUUAUUAAAGAAAGAAGUGAAAUUUGAGUGGAAACCCGAAUGUGAAGAAUCGUUUCAAACCCUAAUGAAGUUGCUGACUACAGCUCCAGUACUAGCUCAACCCUAUAUAGAGAAGCCCUUUGAUGUGUACUGUGAUGCCUCAGGAACAGGCAUAGGGUGUGUUCUUAUGCAAGAAGGCAGAAUUAUUGCUUAUGCUUCUCGUCAACUGAAGCAUCAUGAAGAGCAUUACCCUACCCAUGAUUUAGAGCUUGUUGCCGUCGUGCAUGCAUUAAAGAUAUGGCGACACUAUCUUUUGGGUAGUGAAUGUCGUAUCUUUACUGACCACAAAAGCUUAAAAUACAUCUUCACUCAAAUGGACUUGAACAUGAGACAAAGACGGUGGUUGGAGCUGAUUAAAGACUAUAAGUUAGAAAUCCAUUAUCACCCUGGUAAGGCUAAUGUGGUGGCCGACGCUUUGAGCAGAAAGGCCCAAUGUCACUGCACUACCAUCCAAUCUAAUCUUAAGACCUUAUGUGAGGAAAUGGAAGAUUUAAGUUUGGAAAUAGUAAAACAAGGUGCCCUCCAGAGCAUUAUUGUAGAAGAUACCCUAAAGGAAAGAAUUAUAACAGCCCAAAAAGAAGAUCCUUGGAUUAAGGUGCUCUAUCAACAGAAGGCAGAAGGGAAGAUUCCCGAACUCAUUCAAGAAGAAGAUGGAGGGUUGUACUUCAAGAAAAGGAUAGUAGUUCCUAAGGAUGAAAGCCUAAGAAAGUUGAUCUUAGAUGAAGCACAUCUGUCUAAGUUCGCUAUUCAUCCCAGAAGCAAUAAAAUGUACCAAGAUUUAAAGCAAAGAUUCUGGUGGGCCAAGAUGAAAAUUGAAAUUGCAAGAUAUGUAGCCGAGUGUGAUACUUGCCGGAGAGUUAAGCCCAUACUACAAAAGUCGGCAGGUUUACUUCAACCUUCAGAAAUCCCUGUCUGGAAAUGGGAGGAUAUUUCCAUGGACUUUAUAGUUGGAUUGCCUACCACUUCAAAAGGAUAUGAUUCCAUAUGGGUUAUUGUCGACCGACUUACUAAGUCAGCCCACUUCAUCCCAGUCAAGACUACCUAUCCAGUGUCGACAUAUGCUAAACUCUACAUAGCCCAGAUCGUAUCGUUGCAUGGAGUACCAAAGACAAUUAUCUCCGAUCGAGGCUCCCAGUUUGUUUCCAGAUUUUGGGAAUAACUACAAAAAGACAUGGGCACUACUUUAAUUAGACGUUCUGCCUAUCAUCCCCAAACUGGAGGACAGACAGAAAGGGUCAACCAAAUCUUGGAAGAUAUGUUAAGAGCAUGUGUCCUUACCUUCUCUAAGCUAUGGGACGAGUGUUUGCCCCUAGCCGAGUUCUCCUAUAAUAAUAGUUAUCAAGCUAGUAUCAAAAUGGCACCUUUUGAAGCUUUAUAUGGUCGAAGAUGCCGAACCCCCUUGAAUUGGUCGGAAGUAGGAGAAAGGACACAUUUAGGAUCAGAUCUGGUUAUGGAAAUCGAGGAAAAGGUCCGGAAAAUUCGUAAACAUUUGGAAGUGGCCCAGUCCCGACAAAAGAGUUGUUCAGACAAAAGGAGACGAUCCUUAGAAUUUCAUACCGGAGAUUUUGUAUACUUGAAGGUAUCCCCGAUGAAAGGAAUACAACGAUUUGGAAUAAAGGGUAAAUUAGCCCCAAGGUAUAUUGGUCCUUAUGAAAUUCUGGAACGAAAGGGUCCAGUGGCAUACAAACUUUCGUUACCAGACCAACUUACUUCUAUACAUGACGUAUUUCAUGUAUCCCAGCUUAAGAAAUGCUUAAGAGUUCCAGAACAGAUUCUAGAAGAUCCAGAAAUUGAGCUCGAACCAGAUCUAACCUAUGAAGAAAGGCCUAUUAAAAUUCUGGAUCAAAAGACAAGAGAUACCCAAACUCGGAGUAUUACGUUUUACAAGGUACAAUGGAAAAAUCAUACUCCGGAUGAAGCUACUUGGGAACAGGCUGAAGACCUAGAGUCUAAAUAUCCUGAGUUAUUUGAAACCGUCAGGACCAGAUGAACAAAAACCACCACCCCACUUUCCUUAUACAGAAAAGAGAAAAUUAGUUAGCCUGACGCAGUUUCCUUUCCAUUCUCAAAGCCGAGGAUUUAACCCCGGGAAUCUCGGGACGAGAUUCUAUUAAGGGGGAGAGGCUGUAAUACCUGCCAUUUUUAGUCAUCAAAGUGACUCUGAAGAAAUGGAAGCAAUUCAUGAAGAAAAGAAGAAGAAAUUGGCCAAAAAUCAAAUUCGGGUCAAAUUUGACCGAAAUUUGAAUUUUGAAUUUGAAAUUCAGAAAAAUUUGGCAAAAAUAUGGAAUGGAGGUGUAAGGAUGAUUAGAACUUAAAGAUCAAGAUUUGGGACAAGAUUUGGUUCUAAAUACCUCAAGAAAAUCAAAGAGAGAAAUUGAAAAUCAAAGUUACUGUUCCCUGUCCGACAACAGGAAUUUCAGAAAAACAGCACAAAGUUCAUUUUUGGAAAUUAGAUUCUGUUGAAUUUUUCAAAUAAAUGGAUCCAAACAACUAUACCAUAUUAAAGUGUGGACUUUGGACAAGAAUCUUCAAGUGUUGUUGAUCAGGAAUAGUAGAGGGAACCAUUUCAAAUGGAAGCUCAAAGUCGGCACCUUGUCACGGUAAACUGGCCAAGUUUGGAGCCGAUUUCAGAAAAAUGUAGAACAAAAGGUGCAAGUGUUUAUGGGCAAAAUGGAAACUUUGAAGGUUGUAGAACACAAUUGGGAAGAAGUUGGACAGAGAGGAAGGGAUUUAGAUCACUAAAACCAUUUUUAAAGUCAGGUAAGUGACUCUAUUCAAGACUGACGAACUGAACUUUGAAUUUAAGUGAUUCAGUUACAGAAGAAAGGGAAUUCGAAUUCCACUGUGCUAGGAUGUUUAUCCCGGGUAGAAACUUAAAAAAAAAGUUGAAGGACUCAAGUUUAUCUACAACUUUGUUUAAGUGACUUGUGAACCGUUGGAUUUGGAAUCGGCCAUGGUGGAGCUCUGAAUAUCGGGCGUCAGAAAAUAAGAAAGGGGAGGGGCGACAGAGCAGGCAGGACGUGUCGCCGCCGGUGCGUCUACCGCUGUCCAGCUCAAGAUAGCUAGGCCACCUCCUUACCAGGCAAGCCUACGAGUAGACCACGGUGGCAACCAUGCGCGCGGUGAAAACCUUGAAUAACUACCGCUGCCGCGCCACCCGUUUUACCGCUGCUCUUUUUCACCGCCGCCGCUCCCCUGUCCAAGCCGCCGCCGCCGGGUAAAAUUCCCCCGCCACACCGCCGCUCUCGUCGAUUCCCUCCGUCUACAUCUCCAUACAUACCCCACCAACAACCCUAGCCACUUGUUGCCCAGCUUCUCCGCCGGCGUGCCAGAAACCGCCGUAGGUUCCGUCCGCCGUCGCUGCACCUCCUGCUCACGGUGAGCACCUCUUUGCGCUUGCUCUCUUUCUUCUUGGGUAGUCAUAGGUGGGUCCUUGGGGUGCUAGGAGGCUGUAGAGGGAGUCGUCGGGGUGGGUUGCGCCGUCGUCGUGCUUGACCACGACCGGCCGUAGGUGCCGCCGCCCGCCGCCGUGGAGGGAGUGGCUCCGGCCAUCUCCCGAGGAGCUAUCGCCGCGCACGGGUGAGUUAGGCUAUUGGGAUGCUUUCCCGACCUAGCCCCGUCGCCGGUAGGGCGCCGGCCGGCGAGCCGCGCCGCCCCCUGUCGCGCCGGUUUUGGUGGGAGGAAGAAGAAGGCGCUGGAGUCGCGGGCCCGCGCGUCAGUGAGGAAAAGGAGAGAAGGGAGAAAGGCAGGCCGGGCGCGGGCGUCAGUGGGCCAGCGUUCCGGCAGCCCAAGGAGCCGGUGUUGGUCGGCCGUUGAAGAAAAAGGCCGGAGGCCCAGAGAUCCAGCAGGCCGGCGUUGGGAGAGAAAGAGGAAAAGAAAGAUGAGCCGUUGGGCCGUCACUGGUAUAAAGAGAAGGGGUGGAGAGAAGAAUCGGCCCAGGAGGGCCCGGCCGGGGAGGAGUAGGCCGGCGGGUAGGAUGAAUAGGAAAAGGGUGGGUCCGCGCCGCGGGCCCAGUGCAAGAGAGAGGGGGUAGAAGAAGGUCGCGUGAGAAAAGUUGCCGGGGGUGUUUUUCGGGAAAAAUUAGAUUUCCUUUAUAGAAUAAUUAGUUUAAAUCCGAAUCUCACCAUUUAAAUCACAGAAAUUUCUAGGAGAGUCCAAAAUUAGUGAACCAAUUUUGUUAGGCUUGUUUUAUUUUCCUUUAUGCAUUAAAAUUUUCAUACCCUAGAAAAAUAAUAAAAAUUUGAGCAUUUAUUGAAUGCCUUUCUUUUAAGGGAUUUAAAUAAAUACUUAAUCUUUAUUAAAUGCAUAAAAUAUGGAAUAAUAUUUUCAUAACUACAAAUUAUUAUUAAUUCAUAGGAAAUUAGGUUUUAAAGCUAGAAAAUAAUUAUAAAAUUUUCUAAAAAUGAAAGAAAAGGCCUUAAGUAAGGAUAAUUAAGGAAAUAAAAAUUGUGGGCUAAUCUUUUCGGGUUUUUGUGUGUUGGCUUGCAACUUUAUCAUGAUAAAUUGUAUAGUCCUUGUUGGCUUGCAACUUUAUCAUGAAGGAAAGUUGUACAGUCUUGUAUUCAAAAAGUUGCAUUCCUAACCCCUGCAUAUGUUGUGUUAUAGAAAUCGAAGCACCAGAAGGAGAUUACUCGGAAUAUUCAGAAGGAUCUCCGGAGUUUGAGAAGUCUUUGAAUUGGUCCCCUGUGAAGCCAAUCCUUCGGACAGUGCUAACCUUUUUAGCGAACAAGGCAAGCCCCGGUGCAUUAUACCUAUUAUUUUGGAGUCAAUAUUUCACGUGUCCAUUAUUUAGCUAUUUGCUAUAUGUAUGCACUAAGUCUAGGAGUUGCUUGAAACCCAUUCUUGUGCAUUGUCAUACCUUGUUUUAAGGACAUCUUUGCCAGUUGUUCAAACCUUUAGUAGAUAACCCAAGUCUAGAAUUGCUUAGUUGCUUAAAUGCUUGGUUUACCAACCUUAAGGAAAAUCUUGAGUCAUACAUGUUAUUUAUGGAAAGAUGACUUGGAAAUUGAGAAGCGGACAGAAGCUAAGGAUGUAGUUCUGUAUGCUAGAUUAAUUUGGUUAAGGCCCGAUUCGUUGUCUUAACCUUUGAUCAAGUGAUAAUUAUCUGAUCACUUACUGGGUAUGGGACCAGUAAAGCCCAGUAGGUUAGUAAACUCUUUGAUCGGGAAUACUUCGUACCCGCGCUUGACGUGCUGGAGAUUGGCAGGGGCGUAGCCUGAAACUCACAUGGUGAUCGGGCCAGACGUGGGGUCCCAUGUGGGGGUGCGUCCCUGGGUCCGGGUAGUCUUAUUCCCAAUCAUUGGUUUUGCUAAUCGAAAAGUCGUUACGUACGACCUGGACAGUCGUAUAUAGCUGUUGAUCAAGGUACUCUCCUGCAGGAUGUAAUAUGAUCCGGAUCGCCGCAAUUCUCGGUUAUGAAUGCACUUGAUCACCGUUGAGCAUCGUAGCAUAAUUUCAUGAAUGUCAUAUCUUUCUGAUAAUGAUUGGUGUAUGACUUAAAUACCUUGUUGUCGCAAUUAAUCUUUUCUCAUCAUCUAGAAUGGUUAGGUAAAAACAUAACCCAAGUAAAAGAUAAAACUAAGGUCUCACUUGUAGUAAGCUCUUUGGCAAAAAUGUAUCAGCCAAGUACACCGAAAAAGCUAUCAUGUGCUUCCAAGAAAAACUAUUAUAUUGGUUAGUCGGGUAAGACUUGCUAAGUACUCCAUACUCAGGGUUAUCCCUUGUGGCUAUCUUUUCAGAAGCACCGCAGGAGUCCACUGAGGAGGAAGCCCCGAAACUCUAGGGUAUUGUUAUGAGUCUCACAAUACCCUUAGAAGAAGUCUCAUAAUGCUCAUCUCCAUCCGAACCGUUUAUGUUUUAAGUCCUAGAACUCUGUCUAACACUAGACUGUUAAGUUUGCUUCAAACUAUGUCUUGUAUUAACUCGUACCUCUUGUAUGUAUAUAAAAAUGUAAUAUUUGUUGAUGCUAUCCCAUCGCGGAUACAAUCCUGAUGUAUGGCUAUGAGACACGACGUGGAUCUUUUGAGGAGUCCCAGGGACACUCGACGGACGAUCGGACUUAUACUGUUUUAAGUGCGUUUCGGAUAAUUGCUGUGUCGGCAGCAAUUAGGCGCAUUUAAACCAGUUUAAGUUGGACGGUUCCGCCACAUCCGCCACCCUUCGUCCAGCACCUUUACACUUACACUUGUAUUACUUAGCUUAUGUAUGCUACAACCAACUCUUGUGUAAUCAUCUAGCAAUAUUAAAACAUGCUUAAUCAUGUCAUACUCAUGUCAUUGCAAUCAUUCAUGGUAUAUUUACUUAUCAAGCAUCAUUGCACUCAUGUAGAGAAUGAAACGCCGGAGCAAGACGAGGGUGAGCCCGAGCCGGAGCUCGUUGCCGACGACAUUUCCUUUGUGAACCAAGGUAGGAACCUAAGCAUCUCUUAACCCUAUUUUGGAUCAAUGAUGUUAUGUGUCUUGUAUGUACAUGUGUUGCUUAGCUCCUACUUGAUGAAUUAUCUAUCCUUGAUUUAGAACAACUACUUCUAGGUGAGCAUGCUUGUGUAGGUGUCACGAAUUUAAAUUGUUUAUCCAUGCUUAGCUUGGUAGAACUCGAGAGGUGGUAAGGUCACCACCACUCGCGAGUUAUAGGAUGCUUGCUUAGUUAAUACUUUAGUAACCAUGAAUGGAUUAAAAUUGAGCAACUAUGAAUGAUAAAUCAAACUUGAGCAAGAAUGGCAGGGUCAUGUUGAGAUUGAAGCUCACUUGACUUAGACUUGCUUGAGUUGAUUAAGGACCGUGACUUUGUUGUCGAGUUCUUGAGCACUAUUUUGUACAAACCACAUACUUAAUAUGGGAAUGGUAAGCCAAGAAGCAUAAGUCGCAUCUUGCUUUGACCGGAUUCAGCGCGGGAUGCGAUGAGGUGUGAUCGGCUGUGUACGGUGCAUCUAUACAUCUCCGGCCGUUCGUUCAUAGCCGGGUAUGGGUAUAUGAACAUUUGGGGGCAUUAAUCAACACUUAUCAUAGGCGAAGGGUAUGGUCAUUGGUCUUUGUUGGUAUUUCUUAACGUUACGAAUAAAUCCACAAGCGGACGAAUAUACUGUUGCAGCAUUUCACCCGAAGAGUAUUCAGGGUAUCAUUAUUUAUAUUUUCCCAAAGGAUGGCAUUGGUGUAAAAGGAUUUAUCGGAUACAUAUCCAGGAUCAUAAGCUUAAGUAAUAGAACAAACUUCAUACAGGGUAAGCUAUGAUAAAUAUUUGAGGGUAAUGUGACACACACAAGCUAAUCUCAAGAAUAAAGAAUAAAAGAAUAAACCUAAGGUUAGCGGGGGCAAGUCAUACAAGAGGUCCUAAUGGCAUCUAUCUACACUAGCAAAGGUCAUAUAAGCACAUGAUCAGAGCUAACUCUAGGGAUACAACAUUAUGGGGAGAAUACCCGACCCUGGUCUGCCAAGGCAAGGUAUCUUUCAGAACUCUAGCACCAUACCCGAACGUGGGGGACUACAAGGGACGGAAAGGAAUGUCACCACCUGCCGCCUACUCCUCUGACCGUGGGGCACAGUCAUAUUCAAUGGAUCCCAACGCACCCGAGCACCACGCUCGUACACGUGAUCACUAAUUUAGCCCCUCCGAAACCCCGACCAUGAUGAUCGACAGGCAUAGAACUAGAGCAAGCCUGAAGGUACAACGAACCGAUAUGAUAACAUAGAUUCAGUCUAAGCAUAUGAGUAUAAAUUAAUAAGGCACAAGUCAUGGCAUAAUAUACUACCGAGAUAGCAUAACAACCAAACUCUUUAUAGAUAGAACACUGACAAGUUAAGUACAAAGCCAUAUCAAGAGCCGGUGGUUACAUCCCUAACCCAUCCGAAGAAUAGCUUAGCACUACUAGAAUUUCAGCUCUAGCCUAGCUCCACUAGCCUAAGGAUUACAACAGUAGCAAGGGAGAGAGGGAGAGAGGCUUCAAGUGUGGUGUGUGUGACAGGGGAGGUCUCCUCCUCCUUUUAUAGGUAGUUGCGGGCAGUUUCCAGGAGGUAUCCAUGGGAAAUCUUCUCCCACCACCAUCCUUGGUCAACCAAGCACCGCCACGUGGAGGAUGAGGGCAGGAACCACCUAUCCAGGUUCGACCAAACUAGGGUUCGGCCAACCUUGGGCUGGGCCGGUUGGCCACCACCUUUGCGUGGUGGGCUUCCUGGUGCGCCUUGGUCCUUUUUCUCAUGGACCCACAUUGGAUUGGGCUGAUUUGCUCUGGAUGUGGGCCCUCUUAACCAUCGUGUACGUGUCAAAUGUUCUUCUAUGUGUUUCGUCUGCGUUUGCACACGUUUCCUCUCUUGUACAGACUUGUAUCCCUGAAAUCACUUAUUUUCCAAUACAUGUGGAACUAGAUUAUUGAUAACAAAUAUGCGAGUACGGAAUGUUAGUUUUCCUUCAUUCUUUGAGUAGUGUGAAUGUCGAAUUUCUGUCAUAAGGACCGUCAACAAACUCCCCCAAGCUUGCCCUUUGCUCAUCUUCAGCAAAAACUAAGACUUAGGUUUUUGAUUAGGAGUUCUUCUUUCUUCCAUGCACCAUGUGUACAACAAAGGAUUCUUCCUUGAAUUGAAUAAGUUGGCAUUGUCCACUCUUUUUACCUUAGUCCCAUGGGGCUUUUGGCCUUUCCCCUGUCUUAGGUGGUUGCAAGAUAGAAUGAUUAUAUAAAGUCACCAUUCACCUGCUCCUUGUUCAACUUUCUUUCCGAAGGUUUUUGAUAAGUUUUUGAAAAGAAAACAAGUUCCUCUUAUGAUGUUCUUGAUCACCCAACGUGUAUAGUCCUCACCAAGGCAUGAGUUGCCUCUUUUUCAUCCUACAUCUAACAGGCUUUUUGUGGGGUUUUGGGUAGCAUACUUGCAUCGCAUAAUUUUGCAAAGUCAAAGAGCGGAUCCGAGGAGGUGCAAGACAUACAAUCUGAUCAAGAAGUGCAUGUGUGUGGAAUUUUUGGUGGAAUUUUACUUGAACUCUUUUUUGCAUGACUCCCUCUUUUAUUUCUUUUGGGAUAUGGGCUAUCUGUUCUUUCUGUUUCAUCUUUUAUUUCUUAUUUCCUCUCUCUUCUCUCUCUUUUUUUUCUCUCAUGCUAUUUGAGCAUGGAUAUUUAUUUCCUUUCUCUUUUUUUUUGCAUAGCCCAUAUCUUUUGCAUGAUGAAUAGGGGGGAAUCAUGCCAUAGGGAUGGAGUAUAUUUAUGUGGGUGGAAGGCAUAUUUUUGUGUAACUUCCGGUGUAGAAGUCAGCAUGAAUAUAUGUGGAGUGUACGUGAUCUUGAUCAUGAAAGCAUGACAAGAAUCUCUCCACGUUGCUUGCACUUUGCCAGCCCGAGCCUCUAGCUUCACAUGGUCGUGGUAGUUGGUCCCAACCUGGCUAAUACCCGGGUGCAAACCUUGGCAUCUGCCCGGCUAGAACCCACCCUGCGUGGCACAUCUGCUGCAUGAUGUGCUGGGACUGCGGGGGCUAGUACUGUGAGGUAGUGGCUUCAUUCCUAGACCUGCUCCGAGUUACUCUGCUAGAAAUACUACUCCUACGAGCUUCCUCUUGUGCUAUAAGAGGAAGGGUUAGCUCCCAACACUCGUACAAAUAAAGCUCCGGGUUAGGUAACGGGAUUUCAUUUGUAUAGCCAGAGAAGAAAAUACAAGUGACUAGUUUGCAUCAUGCUUAAGAAUGUGACCUUGAAUAAGAUAUGCUUCAUCAAUAACAGUGUGGGGUGUUUGAAUGUAAGGAAAUGCAAUACCAUCUAACACCCCGACUUUGGAAGCAAUGCAAGUAAUCAAAGAGGUACACUCAAUAGGACCAGUCAUCUUGAAAUUUUCUAACCAUUGAUCAAUCAUAGGCCUAACAGGAGAAACUCUUGUUUUCUUAACCAUGGCAUAAAGAAUUUUAAGCUCAUCAUUACGAAUAGGCUGAACAUUUUCCCUAGGGAAAAUCGAUAAAGCAAGCCACUUAUGCAUCAACCUCAAAGUAGGAUUAUGAAUUUCAUUACAGCGAGGAGAAAACUUGCCAACAAUGACUUGACCAAAAAUGCUUGUCCAUAAGGAAUGGCGAUUAAAAUCGUGGAUAGCUUUGUCAAAGUUGAUUAAGCACUUCUUAUGAAAACCAAGCAAUAGACUUAGGUUUUUCCAAGAUAGCUCAUACUUUUCUUCGAAGAGAUGGAAGGAAAUACCAUCGUCUUUUUGCAAGGUGCAUAAGAAUUGGAUGGUGAGGAGGUGGGAACCUUCCUCCGAAAUGGGUACAAAAUCAUCCCAUCCAACUACAUGCCAAAUGUUAGCAAAAUCGACAUCCAUACCUAUGUUCUCAAGAAGCUCGGAGUCAAAUGCUCGAGAUGAAGACUUGGCCUUUGAUGAGAGCGUAGGCUUGUGCUUCUCUAUCGCCAUGUAGGUCGGGUUGAAGUUCUUCAACCUCCAUGGCUUGUGGUUCGGAUUGCUCUUCUUGCGGUACCUCCUCCUCCCGUAUUGGGCUUGAUGUGUAGUCGUUGGAGUGGUGCAUGCUUGCGCUUCCACGGGAGCGGCUUGAGCUCGAUCCCGUCACCUUAUUGUAUGCGCCGAAGAGCUUUCGUCCAACUCCUUUCAUGGUGGAUGGAGAAAAACACAACUUGCACACAUGUUACGUUAGUGAAAUCAAAAUGAACUCUUACCCAUGAGUAGCUCCACUAAGGUUGUCGAUUCUUGUAGCAAAGAUAAUGAGAGAGAGAGAGAGAGGUUUCUUGCACUUGAACUUGAGCAAGAACUUGAAGAAAUCCCAAGAGCAAAGAAAGGGGAAGAGAUGAGUGAAUGAAAGUGUUGAUGGAUGAACAACACCCUCCUCUCGGCCUCUAUUUAUAGGGCAAAACCGCCGGGCCAUUGGGAACCGACCAAGGGCAAUGGCUAGGAGCCAUUGGACUCGGUGGGGCCCAGGAGCUGUUGGGCCUAGUUUGGCCGAACCAACGGCUCGGCCGACCCCUAGUGGGCCCCACUAGCUGCCAGCUUUGGCUCAUGGCUUCCCAAUGGCUUUAUGGUGACAUAGUGGGGAGGCCCGGCCAAAGUUUGCUGCUCAGAAAUAAUUUUUCAAAGUAUUUUGCUCAAGUUAUUUUGUUACUUUUGAAUUUCAAAAAGUUUUUAUGAAAGGGAAAAAGGGCUAGAAUAAAUUCUAGCAUGAAAAUGUAAUUUUGGGAAAUUAAAUAUGCAAUUGGAAAAACCAAAUAAAGGAAAUCCAAAUUUUGAAAAUUUAAAUAUGAGAUAACUAUUGAUUUAUCUUCGGCAAGGGCUCACCAUUUUAAGUCCUUUGAGUGGGACUUCCUCCGUAGCGUUUGAGCUUGUGGAUGGGGCAUCCAGUCCAGGAGAAGAUGACGCGGAUGACUGUACGUCCUUCACCUUCCAUACCUUCACGUAGGACAUUGGUUUUGCCCAACGGGAAGAAUUUAGCAAGGAACGCCGUGGAGCACUUUGCCCAUGUGUUGACAACAUCCUUGUCCUUGUAGAACCACUGUUUUGCUCUCCUGAGGAGGGAGAACAGGAAUAGGUGGAGUCUAAUGGCAUCUUGAGUGACUCCCCUCAUUGCGACGGUGUCACAAAGGCCAAGGAAGUGUUGGAGAUGUGUGUUGGCAUCCUCGUUCGGCUUGCCAUAGAAGGGGCUAGCCUGCACCAUGUUGAUGAGGUUCAUCUUUAGCUCGAAGUUCAUUUCUCCCAAGUCAACAGCGGGGCCAGUGGCCACAUUGUUAGUGGAGGGGAUGGAGAACUCGUGAAGAGUAUUUUCAGCCAUAGCCUUAGGAGCAGAUGGUGCUAGAAUGAUUUGUUUGGUUGCUGAAAGAGCGAUUUGAGGAGGGACGACACGAGGUUGGACCCUUCUCAUAAGACGCUCUGGAUUCUCGAUGAAGUUGGUCGGCAAGUCGAAACCGGUCAUACACUACCCUAUUUUCAUCCAUCAGGAGAAAAGAAAGACAAGUUAGCCUGUAUAAGCAAUGGCUAUUCCUUAACCAUAUAACCAAGAACAUGUAUUGAUAAAUAUUUUAACCAAUGUCAUCCUCGGCAAUGGUGCCAGAAAUGCUUGUCGGUAUUUCUUAACGUUACAAAUAAAUCCACAAGCGCACGGAUAUACUGUUGUAGCAUUUCAACCGGAGAGUAUUCAGGGUAUCAUUAUUUAUAUUUUCCCAAAGAAUGGCAUUGGUGUAAAAGGAUUUAUCGGAUAUAUAUCCAAGAUCAUAAGCUAAAGUAAUAGACCAAAGUUCAUACAGGGGUAAGCCAUGAUAAAUAUUUGAGGGUAAUGUGAUACACACAAGCCAAUCUCAAGAAUAAAGAAUAAAAGAAUAAACCUAAGGUUAGCAGGAGCAAUGCAUACAAGAGUUCCUAAUGGCAUCUAUCUAUACUAGCAAAGGUCAUACAAGCACAUGAUCAGAGCUAACUCUAGGCAUACAACAUUACGGGGAGGAUACCCGGCCCUGGUCUGCCAAGGCAAGGUAUCUUUCAGAACUUCUAUUGAUCGAAGAAAAAUUCCAUUAUCAGCCCUGGUCUGCCAAGGCAAGGUAUCUUUCAGAACUCCAGCACCAUACCCGAAUGUGGGGGACUACAAGGGACGGACAGGGCUGUCACCACCUGCCGCCUACCCAUCCGACCGUGGGGCAUAGUCAUAUUCAAUGGAUCCCAACGCACCCGAGCACCACGCUCGUACAUGUAAUCACUACUUUAGCCCCUCCGAAACCCCGACCAUGAUGAUCGACAGGCAUAGAACUAGAGCAAGCCUGAAGACACAACGAACCGAUGCAAUAACUUAGAUUCAGCCUAAGCAUAUGAGUAUAACUUAAUAGGGCACAAGUCAUGGCAUAAAAUACUACCAAGAUAGCAUAACAACCCAACUCUUUAUAGAUAGAACACUGACAAGUUAAGUAUAAAGCCAUACCUAGAGCUGGAGGUUACAUCCCUAACCGACCCGAAGAAUAGCUUAGCACUACUAGAAUUUCAGCUCUAGCCUAGCUCCACUAGCCUAAGGAUUACAAGAGUAGCAAGAGAGAGAGGGAGAGAGGCUUCAAGUGUGGUGUGUGUGCGAGGGGAGGUCUCCUCCUCCUUUUAUAGGUAGUUGAGGGCGGUUCCCGGGAGGUAUCCAUGGGAAAUCUUCUCCCACCGCCAUCCUUGGUAAACUAGGCACUGCCACGUGGAGGAUGAGGGCGGGAACCGCCUGUCCAGAUUCGAUCGAACCUGCGGUUCGGCCAACCCUGGGCUAGGCCGGUUCCCCACCGCCUUUGCGUGGUGCGCUGCUUGGUGGGCCUUGGUCCUUUUCUUCGUGGACCCACGCUGGAUUGGGCUGAUUUGCUCUGGAUGUGGGCCCUCUUAACUAUCGUGUAUGCGUCAAGUAUUCUUCUGUGUGUUUCAUCCAUGUUUGCACAUGUUUCCUCUCUUGUACAGACUUGUAUCCCUGAAAUCACUUAUUUGCCAAUACAUAUGGAACUAGGUUAUUGAUAACAAAUAUGCGAGUAAGGAAUGUUAGUUUUCCUUUAUUAUUUGAGUAGUGUGACAGUCAAAUUUCUAUCAUAUAGACCGUCAACAAUCUUGCGCCUCGUGUGAGAAAAGUUGUACACUCUUGCAGGGUUAAAAUCUAUUGCAAUAGCUACGCUCUUGGUCAUUGAGCAUGCUCUUGAUACCCCCUUUCAUAGUAGAGUUAUCAGAUAGAGUUCAUGGAAGAGUGUGCUCAAGAUCAUGAUUCCAUUUACUUAUUGCAAUUACUUGAUGCUUGACUUUGAGAUCAUAGAAUGCUAUGUAUUUUGCUUAUUAUAACUUGAUCAAAUGUAGAUGCUUUUAUGCAAAUUUAAUUACUAAUACCAUUCCUUGAUACUUAACCAAAUGCAUUCUCCUUAAGUGUCGGGCAAGUAUAUACCCAUACUUGGAUAAGACAUGCGAAGCACCUUUUGUACUCACGGUGCUGCCAUUAAGUUAUUGCAGGUGAUCCGCAGCCGAAGGCAUCUUUGGGUACUUCUACCCUACAGAUGGAGGUGCGGGUGAGAAGUAGAUGGCUAUGGCUAGAAGAAGGGCACUAUUGGCAUAUAGUGUGAACCUCCUUAUUUUAUGUUGUAUCGUAUGAGGGCGAUGAUAAAACUUUCAGCUACAAACUCUAUGAACUUGUUAUGUAUGUGAACUUGAACAUCUUUUAGGCAAUGUGAUUGACUAUGUAUGUAUUGCUAUAUGGUGAUGAUGUUUAUAUUGUUGUGCAUGUGACGUGUGUAUAAAUCCUGGCCAAUAAUUGUGACACAUCUCAAGGACGACCGAAAUCAUUCUUAUUUGAUUGAGUUGGUCAAUGGUGAUGACUCGAUUAAAUGAGUAUAGUUUGGAGGUUCUUCACAAGGAUCACAAUGGGUUGGCUCCAGCAUGGCCAGGAAUGCUCAUGGACAGGGCCAACGGUCUCUCUGUCAAUAGAAAUAUUAUUCAAACACUUUGAAGCUGUGUAUAUACGCAGAGUAAAAAACAAUCGUUAUAUUGAUAUCUUCUUCUCGUAUUGAUAUUGGACACGUCAAUGAAAGAAAAAGAUACGAAUGAAUUAGUCCCGUGAAGCAUUUUCAUAUAUUGCAAAGAAAGAAAUUAAUUAAUUCCAUAAUGUUAAAGUUCUUCAUGCAUGAGUUGCAUUCCAGAAACCAUGUUAAUGCUUGAAUUUGCAAUUCUUAACCAAAUAGAGUAGUUACCAUACUAGUUUUUUUCACUAACCCAUUGUUACAAGUAUGGCAAGUUUCAUGAGGCCAGGCCCAACGGGCCAUGCUGUCUGGGAGUGCCCCCCCCCCCCCGGCGUCCACCACGCAUGCUCGAAAGCUCCAUGUCACAAGUGAUGGUGGCUUUGCAAAGGCAUAAAGUAGAUUGGAGAGGGAGCAUUUGCUUCAUCUGAAAAAAGCUGGAAGUAAUCCUUAAGGUCUCCUCCAACAAUAACACAUCACCUAGCUCAUAGGAGUCCACCUCAUCAUUUUGCUUACAUGGAAGAGAGAGAAUGUGGGGAGAGAGAGUGUGCUAUCUCUUCUUCAAGAGAUAGCUCCACUACUGGGGAAGUGAACUUUAGUACCAGUCAGUAACCCCCUUUAGUACUGGACGCCUGAUCAGUACCGCUUGUUCGGUACUAAAUGCCACGCCAUUUAGUACCGGCCAAAAUGCCCGGUACUAAAUGCGCCAUUUAGUACCGGUCGGUGUUACCGAUAGGUACUAAACAGCUUUGCGCCCAAAAAAUAAGGAAAAAAAUUGACGAACAGCUGGGAGGUCCCCGCACACGCAAGUCACAAGUCACGCGUAAUAUGCGCGUGCGCGGUCCGUGGGAUUCGAACCCAUGACCUCAAGCCUCGUGCGAACAUUCCUUACCAUCUCACCUACACAACACAUGUAAUUGAGUUAGAUAGGCUUUUCUUUUGAAGUAACAUGUGGAGAGGCCUUUAGUACCAGUCAAUAACAUCGACCCAUUUAGUACGGGUCGAUGUUAUGGACCGGUACUAAAUGGUACUCCGUGGGGUACUAGUGUUAUUGCUUGGUACUAAAUGGUCGAUGCCUUUUAGUACUAGGCAAUAACACCGACCGAUAUUAAAUGUCACCAUUUAGUACCAGUUGGUGUUAUUGCCCAGUACUAAAAGGCCUCUAAGGACCGAAAAUUUCUACCCAGUACUAACGUCAAGACGAAUGCUCAUAUUUCUAGUAGUGCUCAUAGAGAGAAGUGGGCUUCAUAUUUUAUUAAUGUGAGAGAGAUUGUGGGACCUAAAAUGCUUUGAACAAUAUGCUCUAGGAUAGAUCAUUGGCGAAGUAAUCUCUUUGCUAUCUCUUUUACGAUGUGGAUAUGCUUAGAGCUAGUGUACUAGCUCAACCAUUGGAGAAGAAGUCUAAGCAUUACGGAUAUUUAUCCAUUUUCUUGAAAAAAUCCCUAAGCAUCGCGUUAGACCGAACUAGGCACCCAAUGGAAGUCUAGAAUUGAACAAAAAGGUGAAAGUAGACUUUUCCAAGGUACAUAAGUGGUGGGACCAUGACAAAAGCAUGAGCGUUUGCAGGUUGGUCAGCUACCUUUUUUGAGACCAGUGUCUUUUGCCCUUGGCCUGUCCUAAUCCACCACGUAGGGAACUCUCACAGCCCUAGACUAGGAGCCAACCUUGUCCUACUUAAAGUGUAGUGAGAAAAGAGCAUGAUUUAGUCUCUAACAUUUCUACUUUGUAGACCAAAGGCAAUCACGCCCAACUUUAUUGAAAGCCCAACAAGUAAGAUUACACAUCGACUGAUUACUGGGGUUACCAGUUUACAGACAAGGUGUUUUAAACUAAAGCAACUAUCUUCCCAGAAACAAGGACAAAAGCAUAUCCCUCUACUCAAACUUGCUAUCUCUACCAGCCAACUAGAGGAAAUUUGAAAACAGAGCACCUAACAUACAGUUUGGAGAGUGCUCUACAUUUCAAAAGACACUCACAGGUACACAGUAGAGUUUUUAUUCAAGCAAGACCAGAACAUGCUUCAGUUAGCUUGUUGAUCACCCCCUCCAUCUUCUCCAGAUCUUUGGUCUUGGACAGUGGCUUCCACUGCAGCAGGAAAGACUUUAUUCUGCGAGACACCACCAUGGGCGACGUGACGACCUUGUUAUUGAAGACCAGUCAUUCCUAGUUUUCCACAGCGCCCACAUGGCCCCUACACACACAAAAAGAAAUAGUUGUCUAGAUUUGGUUCUCAUGUCUCUCAUUAUCUCUUCUGUUAAAUCUGAGCAGAAUUAUGAUGUUUUGCACAGGCAUAGCAUUUCUUUGAUAAAGGUCCACAGAAAGGCCGCAAUAGGGCAUUGGAAGAUUAUGUGAUUAGUAGAUUCCACCUCUUCACAUAGUUUAUAUUUUUCUAGUCCAGACCAAUCUCUUUUCUUGAGCUGGACCACCGAUUGGAUUCUAUCAUGGAAGACCAUCCACAUAAAGAUUUGGAUUUUCAUAGGCACUCUACACUUCCAAAUAUCUAUUGCUAGGGUAUCCACUACUCCCCCAAAGGUCAUAGCCCUGUAUAGGGAUUUUGUUGUAUAUUUACCAGAUUUCUCAAGAGCCCAACCCAUAUCAUCUGUACUCUUAACCAGCUCAACAUCAUUCAACAUCUCUAUAUCUGUAGCUCCUCUUCAUUUAGAGAUCUCCUAAACUGAAUCUGCCACACACCCUGCCUCUUGGCAUCUUUCACUGUGAUGUCUGAUUUUGAGCAAAACUUGUAUAGGGAGUCGAAUUAUAUUUUCGAGGGACAUUCCCCCACCCAAGCAUACUCCCAUGAUCUAGUUUGCUCACCCCCAUUCACCUUCAUAACUCUUCACCAUUGGAACCAUUGUCUUAUCCCCAUCAGCCCUCUCCAGAAUUAGGAGCCACCCAGGAUCUUAAGUUGAAAGUUACUUUUCUGCCCUAGAUAUUUUUGUCUAAGCAAUUCUAUACACAUGCUGUUAUCACCUUUUUCCAACCUGUCUAUUCAUUUAGCUAGCAAGCAAACAUUCAUACCUCUAGCAUCCAGAAAUCCAAAUCCACCGAAGUCUUUCAGUCUGCUCAGCGCUUCCCAUUUUACCAUAUGGUAUUUCCUUUUCUUGCUGGUCCCCUGCCAAAACAAAUUGGAUCUGAUAGAGUCUAAGGCUUGAUAGUUGCCUUCAUACAAGGAGGAGACACCCAUUGUGUACAUAGGAAUACUGGGAAGGCAUGAAUUCAUGAGAACAGAUAUUCCACCAGAGGAUAGGGUGUCACAUUUCCAAGUACCCAGUCUUUCUUUUUGCUUUUUUAGUUACAUACCUCUAACAUUUUUGCUUUGCUUUUUGGAACACUUUGAAUUCAUGAUUUUGUCUUCAAGACAUCACCACAAACAAAAAUAAUAACAUCUUGUAGUUGAGUGCGGUGGAUAUUUCAAAAUGUCCUUUCGUGCUCUUGGCAUGUGCACUCAAACUUUCAACUCGAUGUUCUUCACCAAUAUUUCCACCAUAUCGUAGCUAGUGUACCUCGAUCCAGCUUGUAGGGGUGAUUAGGGGCCAGAUCAAGGCCUUUAAUCAAUGAACUGUUCCUAUAGAUGCAGAUUAGGGGCACCGCUUGAGGGACCCCUGGAUCCGCCAGCAGAGAGGAGCAGGCCUGUCGGGCCUCGUCCUUGGCUCCUUGCUGCUAGCACGGCCGUGCGCAGAGGAUCUAAAACGUAGGGUCCUUGUCGAGCUUGAAGUGCGGCACCUCUAGGGACACCUCCGGAGGAGAAGAGGGGCCGCGCGGCCUCUUGCACAGGGGCAUCGAUGGAGGAGCUUGCUUGGCCCUGAUAGCAGAAGCACCGCCGUUGCUGGGAGAGGAGGGGGACCGGAGAGGACUGUCGCCAACAAGCAGUGUUGCCGGGAGGAGAGGAGGGCUCCGGAGAGAGUCGCGCCGGAGUGGGGAGGGUGGCCGCCGAUGACCAAACGCUGGGGCUGCGCCAUCGCUGGCCCAACUCAAAGGCGCGCGAACCCUAGCCUCCCGCGUCCGCCUCUGCUAUCUAAUGCGAGGAAAGAAAGACAUGACCAGUGGCAGGUGGGUAAUUUUUGAUGAAAAAAUCAACUUCACAACCGGUGGAAGCAGGGGAGAUGGGCUGUGUGAAUUGAACUAGCUGAAAGCUAUUUUGGUUGUGGCUUUGGGUGGAAGCCAACUCUUUUGGUUGGCUUUUGGCUUUUUGAGAAGCCACAACAGGUUGAAAAGCUCAACCAAAGGGACCCUAAAGAUCACUGGGGGUACAAGGAAGUGAUAUGGUUGCUCAGAAGAUGAAGAGUCUAUUGAAGAAACUAACUUUACAAAGCCCAAGGCAAGUCUCGGAGCAUCUAAACCUAAUGCUUUUGGAAUUCAUUAUCGGGAGUCCAAAUUAUUGGUAUUCAUGCAUUGUGUUUAGGAGUUGAAUAAAAACUUACAAUCUUGAUUAGUUAGAACAUCUUUGCCAUCUAUUUAAGUAACUAGUAAUAUCAUAUGCUUAACACUUCUUAGUUAUGCAACCUUUUUUAGUAACUUUUGUUGAUCAAUAACCUAAGGUAAUACUUAUACACAUUUGAAUUUCCUUGAAUCAAGGAAAUGGCCUGUUUUGCAAAGUGAGGACGGACGAAUGGAAUCAAGAAAGUAGUUUUGAAUUUCGUAGUUCUGUCUACUGUGAAUAAUCUGAUAAGGCACAUCCGUUGUUUUAACUGUUGACCAAGUGAAACUACCUUGUUACAUACUCGGAUUGGAAACCAGGUUAGCUUGCUCUUAAUGUGGAAAUAUACUUACCCUACUGGGCGUGGGUGUAUAGCGGGGGCGUAGCCUGAAACUCACAUGGUAUCCUGGGGUCCCAUGUGGGGGUGCGUUCCCGGGUUCGAUAAGUAUAAUUCCAGUCUUUGGGUAUGGCUAAUCGAAAGGCCAUUUGCGUGUAGUCUAAUGAACUAUGUGUGUCUUGUGGUUAGUUAUCUCUUGCAGGAUGUAAAUCGGUCCGGAUCGCCGCAAUUCUUGGUUAUGAAUGUCACUUGAUCACGAUUAAGCAUCGUAGUGUAACAAGUUGAAUAUUAUUUGUUUCCUCGAAUUAAAUUUUUCUGUGCGAUGUGUAGUACCACUUCUUUGAGCAAAAUGUUUUAUUCACAUAGUGUGGUUAGGGAAAAAAUAAAUUGAUGAUAAAAUAAUAAAAAUAUAGGUUCCACUAUUAAUAAGCCUUUUUGCAAAAUGUUGAGUCAGCUAGUCCGCUAUAAAGCCUCGCAUGCUCCUUGAAGUCUUAUUUAUUUUAUACUGGUUAGUCAGGUUAAUUUUGCGGAGUACCUUUGUAAUCAAGGGAUCCUUUUAACUUGUUUUCAGAAGCUCGACAACAAUCUGCCGCGGAGGAGAACCUAAGUGUUGUGGGAUUUGGCUGUAGAUGUAUAAUUAAGUUUAUAACAAUACUAUCCCUGGCUUGUUUAGUUUGAAAACUUCUUAGAAUGACUUGACUUGCACUUAAAUUUGUUUCAAGUUUGUAAUAAUUCGUAUAUCUGAGACUAUUUAUGUAAAAAUGUAGAAGCGAUCCUGAUGUAUGGUUGAGAUAAAGGUUGUAAGUGGAUGAUUUGGGUUGUAAGUCGAUGAUCCCGAGGACAUUUGAUGGAUUGCUGGAUUUAAACCGUUUUAAGUGCGUUUAUGCGCAGUUACUGUUUUGAUAGUGAUUAUGCGCACUUAAGCCAAUUUAAAUUGAAUGGAUCCGCCACAUGUACAUACUAAAAGAUAACUGAGUUGGAUGGAUCGGGAAUAUCUUAGAUCUUUGAACUAACAUGGGCUCACCUACAUUUGAGAUUCUUUUUCUAAUUUUGAAGUUGUUUUCGUGGAUUUUUUUGUUUUUCGUUGUAUAGCAUCUUUUUACGACUCUUCCUACAUUUAAAGUUGAACUGCAGUAUUUCAAAAAAAAGUUGAACUGCAAAAAAUUAAAAACAAAACUGCAUGUGACCGUUAGACAGUCAGCAAGCCGCAGCAAGGCCAUAAAUGGCAGCCGCGCCACUUCCCCACUGACAGCGGCACAGCCGCACAGCCCACCAAGCUAACCAAUACGAGGAAACCAUGGGAUAUUUAAGUAUUUGCCACCGUUGCAAAUGGCACUCCUUCAUUUGCCACUUUUACGGGAGCUUCUACUAUUUUGCCAUCGCGAAUGAAAUGAAGCAACUGAUUUGCCAUUUUUGCUGACGUGGCACGCCACGUCCCCGCGACAGCGUGUGUUAGGGGUGCCAAAAGACCGGGAUGCCCUCGUCGUUCUCCUCCGUUACCCCACCGGCUAACAGACCCGACGCCAUCCCCUUCCCUGUCUCCCCCCACUUCUCCCCUUCUCCCCCCAGGCCUCCCUCCUCCCUGCCUCCCCGACGAAAAACCUAGAUCUAGAGCGGCGGCGGCGGCGACUGAGGCGGCGGAGGCCAUCCAUCUCCCAUUCCCCAUCUCCCCCGUUCCCCAUCUCCCCUCUUCCCCAUCUCCCCCCUUCCUUCCCUGCGCAGUGGGUCACCAGCGCCCCCCCCCCCCCCCCGCUAGUCUUCCCUUCUUCCCCCAUCCGCCACGCGCAAGCCAUGUAGCAGGUUGGAGCGUCAUCAAGUGUGAGGAGGCCGGUUGUAGAUGCUCUUGUCGGUGAGGAGACGGGCUUACCUUUGAUCCAGUGCCCUUUGUGCCGUAGGGCACGGGUAGUUGAGCGGCGCACACAGCAAGAUUCGGUGAACUACGGUAGGAUAUACAUAAAAUGUCCAAGGAAUGAUAGAUGGGUGAGUUUGAUGUCGGUUUUUUAGUUUCGGCAUUUGCAUUUGAUGCUAGACUCUUUUUGUUGACUUGAUGUUCAGAUUGCAAAUAAAUGUGAGUACUACAGGUGGCAAAGGUUUUAUUUCAAAGAUUUGGUUGAUGCCAAGGUGAUUGAAGUGCUUAAUUGUGGGAAAGUUGAUGACCAAGUUGAUGACCAAGAAGUUGAGUCCAUGGGGCGUGCAGAGAGGGCAGUUGCAAGUUUGAAAUUUGAGAAGGAAGCUAUGGAGGCCAAGCUGGAUAAAAUGAUGAAUGCCUUAUUGCUGUUGACUGUGUUGCUUGUAGGAUUUAUGGGUGUUGUUGUUGGGAACAUGUUGAAGUAGUAGAAACAUUUGUGUUGUUGUUGUUGUUGGACUCAUUUUGUAUUGUGUCUUGGUGUAAUCAAUGAAAAAUGACUUUUGUUUUUGGAUCACUGUGUUCAUUCCUGAAUUUCAUUCAUGGCCAACAGAUAUUGUUCAUGGCAAACAAAUACAGUUGACAACCAAAUAGGUCAUGGCAGACAGAUACAUCUUCAUUGCCAACAGAAUUUGUCCAUGAGCAAUGGCCGAGCAAUAUAGUUCAUGUCAAACAGAUAUACUUGACAGCCAAAUAGACAUUGUUGAUAGGGUUACAGAUAGUUCAUGGCCAAACACAAGAGCAUAGUUCAUGGCCAACACAAGAGCAUAGUUCAUGGCGUCAGAAAAGCAUAAUUCAUGGCCAAACAUGACAGACAUUGUUCAUGGCCAAAGACACAGACAUAGUUCAUGGCCAAAGACACAGACAUAGUUCAUGGCCAACAGAAAAGCAUAAUUCAUGGCCAAACAUGACAGACAUUGUUCAUGGCCAAAGACACAGACAUUGUUCAUGGCCUAACAAACAAAAGUGACACACAGACAUUGUUGGACUCAUUUCUUUGGCGUCUUCUUCACUUUGGUCGCCAGCACCUUCCUUGGGGUCAUCUUCUUGGCAACUUUUAGUGCUGCUGGUGCCACCACUUCUAAUGGUACAGGUUCAAAAUCAGCAGCUUCUUCAGCAGGUGGGUCUGGUGGUGCCUCCAAAGCAAGUCUCCUGUGUAAUGUAAGAGGCUCUUAGCUGCUGCAGUACACAUAUUAUUGAAAAUGUUGUUGUGUAGAUGCAAUACCAACCUCUUAGUCCUGGAUGCUGCUGCUUGCAGAUGUUGUUGUGCCUGAGCUGCAGCUUCAGCUUCUUCCCUAGCUGCUUUCCUAGCUGCUUUCCUUGCUGAUGCUGCUGCAAUUGCUUCAGCCUCUUCCCUAGCUGCUGCAGCUCUUGUCCUUGGUGUCCUUUGUGGUGGAACUGGGUCUGGUUCAGCAGCUUCUUCAUGGUUGUCAUGGUUGGCCUUCUUCCUUCCUGGCUUCACUGCUGCUUUCUUGGUCCUCUUCCUGUAAAAUAAGAUUAGUAGUUAGUCAUGGCAAUAUUAGAGCACAAACAAAUGAUUGGCUUAGUACAUACCUUUUCUUGGUCCCAGUGAGCCCACAGUGCCUGCUGCCCUUCCUGUGACCCUUUUCACCACAGGCUGCACAUAUGGAUUGCCUAGUAGGCUUACCUGACCUCUCCAAGCAAGAGGGAAUUCUGUUCUUCCUCUGCCUACCAAUGCCUCUCUUCUUCCCUAUAGGUGGCAAUAGUUUGAAGUCCUUUGCAACUUCAGGCCAUUGACUCCUAUCUGUGAUGUUAGGCCACCCAGCAUCAUAUGCUUGUCUAAAUCUUUGUACAGAAUAUGCCAUGUCCACAAACUUUUCAUAAUCUGGCUGCCUCACAGUGGUUAUAACAGCCAAUGCAUGGGGGCAAGGCUUACCAGUAACCUGCCAUUCUCUACAUGUACAGCUCUGUUCAUUGAGAUAGACCACAUGUCUUCUUACUUCCUCAUCCUUGUAUAUCUCAGUCACCUCAGCUUGAUGUGGCAGUCCUUUGGUGACCUUUAAGUGUCCUAUCCCCUUUGAGGCAGCAUUAAGUUGAUGAAUCACAGCAGGGAGAAUAACUCCAUUUAAAGCUCUCCCAAUCCUCCUCCUCCUUUCAAACAUGACCACACCUUUCUCUCUGAUAGCAUCUACCAGACAGUGUAGUGGCAGGUCCUUGAAUUCUUUGAUCCAUGCAUUCCAAGACUCAGCCAAAUUGUUCAAGAUGUAGUCACAUUUGAUGUCUGGAGAGAACUUGGAUCUGGCCCACAACAGAUUAUGGUGCUCUUCUAACCAUUUUCCUACCUCAGGGCUAGCUUCCAAGACUUUACUCAUAAAAUAAUUGUGCUUUCCAGCUGAGUAAGCUCUUGCAGCAGGCCACAUGUUUUCAGCAUAUACAUUUCCUGUAAACUUCUUCUUCAUGUUUUCCAUCAAGUGCCUAAAACAUUCCCUCUGUUUAGCCCAUGGAAAAACAUGCUUGACAGCAGAUUCUAGGCCCUUGCAAGCAUCAGUACAAAUAGCCAUUCUUGGAAGUACCCCAAUGGCCUUGCCUAACUGCUCCAUGAACCAAAUCCAAUUGUCCUUGGUCUCUGAAUCAAAAAACCCAAAGGCCAAAGGGAACAUCCAAUUAUGACCAUCUAAAGCUAAGGCUGCAGGCAUAUGUCCAUUCCACUGCCCAUUCAAAGCUGUGGAGUCUAUACUAAUGUAAGGUCUGCACCCAUACAAGAACCCAUCUAUACUACCUCUGAAAGCACAAAAAAAUCUAUUGAAAUGGUGCUUCUCUCCAACUUUGACAGUAUCUAUCUCAACUACACUACCAGGCUGCCUCAACUCCACUUCUGCCUUAAACCUAUACAACCAAUCAAAUGAAUCAUCCCACUUACCAAAUAAUUUGUCAGCUGCUCUCUGCCUACCAUACCAAACUGUCUGGUAGUUGAUCUUAAUCUUGUACUUGUCCUCCAAUGCUUCCUUCACAUCUGCAGCACCCAUUCCAGGCUUCCUCUUGAGCAAAGGUAUGGCCCUCUCAGCCACCCAUGCUUGAUUGGCCAUUCUGCCCAGCACUCUGCUUCUUGAAGCACACUUAUGAAGCUCAUUGUUUAUUUGGACCUGCAGGACAUAAAGAUUUGUUAGCUCAAGAUCAAACAAAUAGUAAGGCUAAGUUAGUCAAACAUUACAACACAUGUAAGUUAGUAAAUGUACCCUGACAGAACCAUCAGCUUUUGUUCUAGCUCUAAUAACCCAUGGACACCCUUUAGCCAAGCAAUGCCCCCUGAAUCUUUCUUUGUCUGACUUCUCAGUUCCCAGCGCAAACUCAUUGACUAUAGCAUGCUGCCUCACUGCCAAUCUGAAAUCUACCAUGUUAGGGUAGAUUGUGCCCACCCUCAUGUCUGGGUUGUCUCUAUCCCACUCAAGUAUUGGCUCUGAAGGUUCAUUGUCAUCAACAUUAAUUCCAGCCUCAUGCAUCUUUGCUUGUACAUCAGGAGGAAUGUCAGGGAUAGCAGGGUCAUCUUCUGCUGCUGCUUGUGCUGCUGCCUGAGCUGCUGCCUCAUCUGCUGCUUUGAAGCCCAUUGCCUCAUAAACCCUGUCCUCAUCAGCCAAAACAUAAGCUUCACCAUCUUGUUGAGUCUCUGGCAGUAUAGUCAGUGUACUCCAAUCAACAAUGUCUGGUUGGGCUUGCUCAUGUUGUGCUGGAGAUGUACAAUAUUCACUUGCACCUUCAUUUGUUACUCCAGAAGUCCCUACUCCAGAAUUGCCUACUGACCCUGCACAACUGUUAACAUUCUGGUACCCUUCAUUCCAUCUGUCCACAACUUCUACCCUAACAUUUGCUACUCCAACAUUCCAUCUGUGCUUAAUCAUUGACUCAAAAUGCUCAUUUUUUCUAACCUUCCACUCAUCUUCACUGUCAACAUCCACACUGACUAGAUCCCCAAUAUAUUUUGCUAGCCAUAUCAACAACAAAACUAUCCAGAUUAUACCCACUGCAUCUAUCAAACCACAGCACAUGUUCUUGUUCAUCAAUUUCUACAAUACCAGACUCCGCACAUGCCUUAUACUUUUCAACCUUAACCACUAUUCUAAAUGCAUUUCCAGGAUCAAUCCUGGUAUAAUAAUAAAAAUAACAAAAUACGGAGUUAGAGACAUCCAACUCCUCUGAGGCAAACACUUUAAGAGGGGAAGAGGGGAUGGUUUGCGGCUUACCAGGGAGGAGGCUCCAUUGUUGACCCGUUGGCGCAGGGAGGAACAACAGGAGAUGGGGAAUGGGGUAGAAGGGGAAGGGGAUGGGGAAGGGGAGAUGGAUGGCCGCCACCGCCUCCGCCGCCGCCGCCGCUCUAGACCUAGGUUUUUCGUCGGGGAGGCAGGGAGGAGGGAGGCCUGGGGGGAGAAGGGGAGAAGUGGGGGGAGACGGGGAAGGGGAUGGCGUCGGGUCUGUUAGCCGGUGGGGUAACGGAGGAGAACGACGAGGGCAUCCCGGUCUUUUGGCACCCCUAACACACGCUGUCGCGGGGACGUGGCGUGCCACGUCAGCAAAAAUGGCAAAUCAGUUGCUUCGUUUCGUUCGCGAUGGCAAAACAGUAGAAGCUCCCGUAAAAAUGGCAAAUGAAGGAGUGCCAUUUGCAACGGUGACAAAUACUUAAAUAUCCCGGAAACCAUACCGCAAAACUGAGAAGAAAAAAAAAUUGAAAAUUUCACUCCCGGCGCACGCGCCGCUUCGAAUUCCCGCACUGUCCCCUUCUCUUUCCUCUCCCCUCCCGCCCCCUCCUUGCUCUCCCGGCCGCGGACGGGCUCGCGCCCGCCCUCUCACGAAUGGCGCGGCGGCGCCGCCGUGCCUCGCGCGGCAGCGCUCCCCCGGAGCUCCGCCUGGCCUACGGCGCGCGCGCGCGCACGCUCGGCCGCGCUGUCCUCUCUCUCCUCCCGCCGCCGCCGCCGCAGGGCGCGCCCUGCCCCGCCUGCCGCGGCGGCGGCGGUGCGGGGUGCCUCGCGUGCCGCCGCUGGGCGCACCUCCUCCGCGACGGCGACCCGGUAGCGUACUGCGGCCUCGUCACCCGCGCCGUCUGCGCCGUCGCGCCCGCCGGGGCCGCGCCCCCACCGCCGCGGUACACGCCGGGGAACGCCGGGCACUCGCAGGCCAAGGUUCCGUCCGACUUGCCCUCCUCGGUCGUCUCGUCAUUCUCUUUGCAUUGCUUGCUUUGUGCCUGCAGCGCGUGGUUUUCUUGUUAUCUUGUUUGCUUUUGUUGGCUGUCUGAGAUCACCGGUUGUCUGGCUGCACGCAUGUUGCUCGACGAGUAGCUCGUUCGGGAGACGAUCAAGUCCAUCAUGGCGGAUCGGGCGUGCACAACGAAGAACAUCCUCUGCAGCGAUUGCCGGGGGGUAUGAAUGGCUCUUAAAUUCUACAGAAUGAUUCUUGCAGUUCGAUUAAUAUUUAUGACUGCCAUUGCCUUAUCCAUAUACACACAUACAGUACAGUUCUAUCUGAGUCGCACUAUUACAUAGCUCUUCCUUGUUUUUAGGAUUUCCCUUGAAUAAGUACAAGUGGUACAACCAAACCUGUCACAUUGAGCAAUCUUAAGUCUUGUUCCCUCAUGUUUAUUUCAGUAUCAUGCAGGUGUAUGUUUGUCAUUUGCAGUGCCUGACCAUGAUGCGCUGGGAAAUCCAGUUUAGGGCUUUUGCCAAAAACAUUAAGCAUCCUAGGAGCCACUACCAAUUCAUAAAAGGGUGCACUAAAGACAACCCAUAAAGCCUGAUAAACCACUAAAUGCCAUUGGUAACUUACUGCUUGUAGGUUGAAAGUUGACGUAGAGCUCCGUAUUGACAGAUAAAAAAAAAGUUCCAAACCAGGACUCUUCAAUUAAGCUUGUCCGAGUGGGUUGUCAAUAUGUGGAGAAGGCCAUAAUUUAUGUUUCAGUAGGUUUUUCUUUGUUCAUCCCAUGAUGCAAAUGUCAGCAGACAUUCUUUCAUUAUCUAAAAAGAAUGCUUUGUCAGGUUGUUUAUGUGCACAUGGUAAUGCUUUAGAUAAAUUUAAAUCGGUUUUUUCUUCAGUUAACUGUUACUACUUAUCUCUUAACCUAUUCUCUGAUUGGUCGAAUGACAUGAUUCUUUGACAUGCCUCUUUUGCUAAUUUUUCUUUAUCCUUUAUUCCUUUUAUUUACAAUCAAAAUCCUUAUUCGUAUCAGGGUGGCCAGACUGGAUGUGUCAGUGAGCUUGUUUCUUCUUCGUCUUGGGAUAUUCUCUUGCAUAGGGUCAGUAACUUAGUAUAAAGGAAGUUCUCAAUGAUGAAUAAAGUUUUUAAUGUAUUUUAUUGACAUUUAUUGCUUUUUUCAGAUUGGGGAUCUACUCAUGUGCUAUAUUCUCAGGCAUUCGUCCAUAUUUUUACCUGUUAAGAAGAAUGUUUUUUUUCAAGUCACUGGCCUCCCACUCAAUGUUCUUCUGCAAAAGCCAAUAUUCACGAGUACCAUGGGAAAACACCAACAACCCCAAUCCACGAAACAAAGAUGUCCCAUGGUAAGAAAUUAUUGGUUUGUUUGGCACAGCUUUAGCUUUGAGACCCAUGCAUGGGUUAGGAGUUUGUAGUAUGAAAUAAAGUGAUUUAAACAUGUGUUUAAUACAAAAAACAACAUAUCUUCAACCAUGUACCCUCAAUAUGGUCACAGCUCUAGCUCCAAGAAAUUCAUGUAGCUGGAGCUGUGCCAAACAGGCUCUAUGAUUGUUCAAUUCAAUGCUAUGCCCUAAACAAACCAUUUAAAUCUCUCUUUCCAAAACACAAGGCUCUUAAGGUGGCAAUUAAUUUCAGUUGGCUAUCAAGCAUGCAAAUCUUGCCAUUCUGGAUUUUAGUUUAACACGUACACAGCUGAAAAGAAUGCCAAAAACAAAAGCUAACUGUUUAUAGUGACGAUUAGCUUGAUAUCCAGCUUCUGUUCCCCUCAACCAGGAUGUCUAUGGAAGUAUGCCUUCUAUGUAGGUCUGUAAUUCUGUGUACAAUUUUAUACCAAUUGAAAUUUGAACAAGAUGUAUACAUCUGUAUAGUAGUAAAAAUCAUUUUUCAUGCAUAUAUACUAGAAAAUUAUAAGAAACCAUAAUUUGCUAAUUGUGUAUACUUAUGUAAAAAGGUUAACUUAUCAAUAAAAAAGUAAUUGGUGGAUACUUAGUUUAAAUUUUUAUAGUUUCUUAACAACUCAGUUAAAGCUUGUAAGAAGUAACUGAUCUCCAUUUAUCUGCUUAACCAUCCCCAUUACUCAGCUACACGCAUAUAUUUAAUUGUUCUGCAAUAGCUGGAAUGGAAAAUGUACCUCGUUUUUUU
rnacentral:lncRNA from 1 species